UACAGAGACUGCGAGCGUUGUCCGGAUUCACUGGGCGUAAAGGGCGCGUAGGCGGCGGCUUGAGUCCCUGCGUGAAAUCUCCCGGCUCAACCGGGAGGGUGCGCGGGAUACUGGGCGGCUUGAGGACAUCAGAGGAGAGCGGAAUCCCCGGUGUAGUGGUGAAAUGCGUAGAUAUCGGGGGGAACACCAGUGGCGAAGGCGGCUCUCUGGGGUGCACCUGACGCUGAUGCGCGAAAGCGUGGGGAGCGAACGGG
rnacentral:rRNA from 1 species